GAUGAAGAACGUAGCGAAAUGCGAUAAGUAAUGUGAAUUGCAGAAUUCAGUGAAUCAUCGAAUCUUUGAACGCACAUUGCGCCCAUUAGUAUUCUAGUGGGCAUGCCUGUUCGAGCGUCAUUAAGUCCACUUAAGCCUAGCUUAGUGUUGGGAGACUGCUCCAGUGGUGCUACCCUGUAGCUACCCUGCAGCUCCUUAAAGACAGCGGCGGAGUCGUGUUAUCCUCUGAGCUUAGUAAAUCAUUCUAGCUUUCGAGAGUAUCCCUUCACCUGCCGUUAAACCACCUAAUUUUUAUGGUUGACCUCGGAUCAGGUAGGAAUACCCGCUGAACUUAAGCAUAUCAAUAAGCGGAGGA
rnacentral:misc_RNA from 1 species